rnacentral:rRNA from 1 species
UACAGAGGGUGCAAGCGUUAAUCGGAAUUACUGGGCGUAAAGCGUGCGUAGACGGUUAUGUAAGUCGGGUGUGAAAGCCCCGGGCUCAACCUGGGAAUUGCAUUCGAGACUGUGUAGCUAGGGUACGGAAGAGGGAAGCGGAAUUUCAGGUGUAGCGGUGAAAUGCGUAGAUAUCUGAAGGAACACCAGUGGCGAAAGCGGCGCGCUGGACCACUACUGACGCUGAGGAACGAAAGCUAGGGGAGCAAACAGG